AACUUUCAACAACGGAUCUCUUGGUUCUGGCAUCGAUGAAGAACGCAGCGAAAUGCGAUAAGUAAUGUGAAUUGCAGAAUUCAGUGAAUCAUCGAAUCUUUGAACGCACAUUGCGCUCCCUGGUAUUCCGGGGAGCAUGCCUGUUCGAGCGUCAU
rnacentral:rRNA from 2 species